GACGAACGCUGGCGGCGUGCCUAAUACAUGCAAGUCGAACGCACUCUCGUUUAGAUUGAAGGAGUUUGCUCCUGAUUGAUAAAACAUUUGAGUGAGUGGCGGACGGGUGAGUAACACGUGGGUAACCUGCCCUAAAGUGGGGGAUAACAUUUGGAAACAGAUGCUAAUACCGCAUAAAACCUAACACCGCAUGGUGUAGGGUUGAAAGAUGGUUUCGGCUAUCACUUUAGGAUGGACCCGCGGUGCAUUAGUUAGUUGGUGAGGUAAAGGCUCACCAAGACCGUGAUGCAUAGCCGACCUGAGAGGGUAAUCGGCCACACUGGGACUGAGACACGG
rnacentral:rRNA from 1 species